rnacentral:hammerhead_ribozyme from 1 species
ACCCAAUUGACGAGCCCCACGUAGGACGAAACGCGAGUCCUGGAU